AGGAUGAACGCUAGCGGCGCGCUUAAUGCAUGCAAGUCGAGCGAUGAGACUCCUACGGGAGCACAUCAGCGGCAGACGGGUGAGUAGCACGUAGAUGACGUACCCUCAAGACGGGGAUAACGGAUGGAAACAUGCGCUAAUACCGGAUGACCUUACGAUGUCAGAAUGGUAAGGAAAGCUACGGCGCUUGAGGAGCGGUCUGCGGCCCAUCAGCUAGUUGGUAGGGUAAAGGCCUACCAAGGCGAAGACGGGUAGGGGGUGUGAGAGCACGGNCCCCCACAAUGGGACUGAGACACGGCCCAUACUCCUACGGGAGGCAGCAGCAGGGAAUAUUGCACAAUGGACGGAAGUCUGAUGCAGCGACGCCGCGUGAGUGAAGAAGGCCUUCGGGUUGUAAAACUCUUUUGAGGGGGAAGAGCGAGGACGGUACCCCUGGAAUAAGCGUCGGCUAACUACGUGCCAGCAGCCGCGGUAAGACGUAGGACGCGAGCGUUAUCCGGAUUUACUGGGCGUAAAGCGUCUGUAGGCGGAUGUGUAAGUUGGGCGUGAAAGCUCCGGGCUUAACCCGGAGAGGCCGUUCAAUACUGCAUAACUUGAGGGUGUCAGAGGGGAGCGGAAUUCCCGGUGUAGCGGUAAAAUGCGCAGAGAUCGGGAGGAACACCAGUGGCGGAGGCGGUUCCCUGGGGCACACCUGACGCUGAGAGACGAAAGCUAGGGGAGCGAACAGGAUUAGAGACCCUGGUAGUCCUAGCCCUAAACGAUGAAUGCUAGGUGUGGGAUCGAAUGGUUCCGUGCCGGAGCGAACGCGAUAAGCAUUCCGCCUGGGGAGUACGGCCGCAAGGUUACUACUCAGACGAAUUGACGGGGCCCCGCACAAGCAGCGGAGCGUGUGGAUUAAUUCGAUGCUACACGAAGAACCUUACCUGGGUCAGACAUGUAGGUGGUAGUGAAUCGAGAGUCGAACGACCCUUCGGGGAGCCUACACAGGUGCUGCAUGGCUGUCGUCAGCUCGCGCCGUGAGGUGUCGGGUUAACUCCCGUGACGAGCGCAACCCUUGCUCCUAGUAACAAGUGUCUAGGGGGACCGCCGGCGGAAAGCCGGAGGAAGGUGGGGA
rnacentral:rRNA from 1 species